rnacentral:rRNA from 1 species
GAUGAACGCUGGCGGCGUGCCUAAUACAUGCAAGUCGAGCGAACAGAUGAGGAGCUUGCUCCUCUGACGUUAGCGGCGGACGGGUGAGUAACACGUGGAUAACCUACCUAUAAGACUGGGAUAACCUCGGGAAACCGGAGCUAAUACCGGAUAAUAUAUUGAACCGCAUGGUUCAAUAGUGAAAGACGGUUUUGCUGUCACUUAUAGAUGGAUCCGCGCCGCAUUAGCUAGUUGGUAAGGUAACGGCUUACCAAGGCGACGAUGCGUAGCCGACCUGAGAGGGUGAUCGGCCACACUGGAACUGAGACACGGUCCAGACUCCUACAGGAGGCAGCAGUAGGGAAUCUUCCGCAAUGGGCGAAAGCCUGACGGAGCAACGCCGCGUGAGUGAUGAAGGUCUUCGGAUCGUAAAACUCUGUUAUUAGGGAAGAACAAAUGUGUAAGUAACUAUGCACGUCUUGACGGUACCUAAUCAGAAAGCCACGGCUAACUACGUG